rnacentral:rRNA from 1 species
GACGAACGCUGGCGGCGUGCUUAACACAUGCAAGUCGAACGAAGUGGCGAACGGGUGAGUAACGCGUAAUCAACUUGCCCUUCAGCGGGGGGCAACAGUUGGAAACGACUGCUAAUCCCGCAUACUGAAGGAGGGGAUUGCGUCUGAUUAGCUAGUUGGAGGGGUAAGGGCCGUCCAAGGCGAUGGUCAGUAGCCGGUCUGAGAGGAUGAACGGCCCACUUGGGAGUGAGAACAGGCCCAGGCUCCUAGGGGAGGCAGCAAGGGGGAAUCUUCCGCAAUGGGGGGAAGUCUUACGGAGCAACGCCGCGGGAUGGAUGACGGCCUUCGGGUUGUAAAUCUCUGUUAAUCGGGACGCGGUACCGGAAUAGAAAGCCACGGCUAACUACGUGCCAGCAGCCGCGGUAAUAC